rnacentral:lncRNA from 1 species
UGAUUUCAUUACAAUAACUAUGUGAAACUGCUAUCAAUCAGAAAUAUAUACUGCAUUUUCAACAUGGGUUUAGUUCUAACCCACAAAAUAAUGGCUUAGUAAUGCACUGAUUCAUGGGCAAUUUAUUGAAUUUAAGGAAAUGAGAUUUAGUUCAUGCUUGAAGGAUUCCCUUGUACACGUCAUGUGCUAAGUCUAGGAAGUACAGACUGAAGACAUUUUUGUAAAUGAGAUGAUGACACUCAGUGACACACCUAUUAGCAGGCAGUAGACAGGAGUACUGGGAGGAACUAAAAUUCAAAGCACGCAACCAAUUAGGUUAUGCAUAUGGCACUUUAUGAACUAUUCAGGAAGUGAUUGCAAAAUCACCUGCGUGGAUAUAUAGCUCCACUGCUGGUUUUUCUAGCCAGGAAGAAUGUCUGAACUCCCUGCACACUGACCUCUCUACAUCAGUCUAGUGAGCAGAGUCUUUCAGCUGACUUCUUCAUCUAUUUGGACCAUGAUGUGGAUGCGAUCACUUCUUGCGUGUUUUAUUUUUCAUCUGUCUCUUUCUCAGUCUCCAAAUGUGCAGUAUGUUCUGCUGGUCCCUUCUGUUCUGCAAGAAAGCUCUAUGGAUAAAGUUUGUGCCCAGCUUUCCAAUCUGACCGAAUCUGUUGUUCUGACUGUCUCCCUCAACUAUGGUGAGGUCUUGACCAAAAUAUUUGAAGAGGAUGUUACAGGAGAAAAUUUCUUCAAGUGUACCAAUUUUGAGGUAAAUUUUUUACUCUACUUACUUUAGAAAAGAAUCCUGCAGGGACAGGAAAGCCACCCACAU